UUACGGCCAUAUCCCUUUCAAACACCAGUUCCCGUACGAUCACCAAAGUUAAGCAGUCGAUCCUGUUCAGUACCUAGAUGGGUGACCGCUUGGGAAUACGAAGUGCUGUAAG